rnacentral:lncRNA from 1 species
AUAAAUAUUGUUCUCAUAGCACAACAUAAUAAAAGGUUCACCAACAAAGGCAUAAAUAUUGUUCUCAUAACACAAGAUAAUAAAAGGUUCACCAACAAAGGCAUAAAUAUUGUUCUCAUAGCACAACAUAAUAAAAGGUUCACCAACAAAGGCAUAAAUAUUGUUCUCAUAGCACAACAUAAUAAUAGGUUCACCAACAUAGGCAUAAAUAUUGUUCCCAUCGCUCCAAGAUAAUAAAAGGUUCACCAACAAAGGCAUAAAUAUUGUUCUCAUAGCACAACAUAAUAAUAGGUUCACCAACAUAGGCAUAAAUAUUGUUCCCAUCGCCCAAGAUAAGAUGUAACGAACUAGUUGCCAUACUUGAGGUCAAACCUCCUACGCAACCAACCCAUUCUAGAGUCGGAUGUCAUGUGCAAGAACAUUUCCCUUCGCUCUUUCUUCAGAAAGAGCUCAGUAGCAAUGAAGUGCUCAUCAGUGCCAUCUAUUGCGCCACAAGCACGAACUAAAUCCAUGGUAGAUGCAACAGAGGUGGUCUCAUCUUUCUGUAGGAAAGACUAAAAUGAUGUAUGCGAAGCAUGUGCAAUGGAACUAAUCUUUUUUAUCUCCUCUUGCAUCACUUGUGCAGUCUUUGGUUUCUUGUUCUUCUCCGGAAUCUUGACCCCAAGCCUCACUUUAGAUGCACUAGCUAUUGUCGGAGAUGCUUGCUCUUCGGUAUCAUCCUCCAAAUCAAGAUCGGUGAUUUCAUCAACAUUCAANNNN